AGGACUAUACUUUCAGGGAUCAUUUCUAUAGUAUGUAACUAGAGUUCUUCUGAUCGUGUAGAGCACCCGAAGUCAUGAGAAGGAGCCAUGCAUCAUCUCCUAAGCGUGAAGCUGGCUCUAGGUGUUGCUUCUGCGACUGCCUUUGGCCAUUGAUGAUCAUUCUCCCCUUCCAUUGGAAGGGGUAGAGAAAAAAAAGAAAAUGUAUUAU